rnacentral:rRNA from 1 species
CUUGGCGGCCUUAGCGCGGUGGUCCCACCUGACCCCAUGCCGAACUCAGAAGUGAAACGCCGUAGCGCCGAUGGUAGUGUGGGGUUUCCCCAUGCGAGAGUAGGGAACUGCCAGGC